rnacentral:rRNA from 1 species
CCUACGGGGGCAGCAGUGGGGAAUAUUGGACAAUGGGCGAAAGCCUGAUCCAGCCAUGCCGCGUGUGUGAAGAAGGCCUUCGGGUUGUAAAGCACUUUCAGUGGGGAAGAAAGCCUUGGGGCUAAUACCCUCGAGGAAGGACAUCACCCACAGAAGAAGCACCGGCUAACUCCGUGCCAGCAGCCGCGGUAAUACGGAGGGUGCGAGCGUUAAUCGGAAUUACUGGGCGUAAAGCGCGCGUAGGCGGUCUGAUAAGCCGGUUGUGAAAGCCCCGGGCUCAACCUGGGAACGGCAUCCGGAACUGUCAGGCUAGAGUGCAGGAGAGGAAGGUAGAAUUCCCGGUGUAGCGGUGAAAUGCGUAGAGAUCGGGAGGAAUACCAGUGGCGAAGGCGGCCUUCUGGACUGACACUGACGCUGAGGUGCGAAAGCGUGGGUAGCAAACAGGACUAGAUACCCGUGUAGUC